CCUCCGUAGGUGAACCUGCGGAGGGAUCAUUACAAGUGACCCCGGUCUUACCACCGGGAUGUUCAUAACCCUUUGUUGUCCGACUCUGUUGCCUCCGGGGCGACCCUGCCUUCGGGCGGGGGCUCCGGGUGGACACUUCAAACUCUUGCGUAACUUUGCAGUCUGAGUAAACUUAAUUAAUAAAUUAAAACUUUUAACAACGGAUCUCUUGGUUCUG
rnacentral:misc_RNA from 1 species